UACGUAGGUGGCAAGCGUUGUCCGGAAUUAUUGGGCGUAAAGCGCGCGCAGGUGGUUUCUUAAGUCUGAUGUGAAAGCCCACGGCUCAACCUGGGAACUGCGUCCGAUACUGGAUGGCUUGAAUCCGGGAGAGGGAUGCAGAAUUCCAGGUGUAGCGGUGAAAUGCGUAGAUAUCUGGAGGAAUACCGGUGGCGAAGGCGGCAUCCUGGACCGGCAUUGACGCUGAGGAGCGAAAGCCAGGGGAGCAAACGGG
rnacentral:rRNA from 1 species